GAUGAAGAACGCAGCGAAACGCGAAAGGUAAUGCGAAUUGCAGAAUCAGUGAGUCAUCGAAUCUUUGAACGCACAUUGCGCCCCUUGGUAUUCCGGGGGGCAUGCCUGUCCGAGCGUCAUUGCAACCCUCAAGCGCGGCUUGUGUGUUGGGCUUCGUCCCCCCGUGGACGUGCCCGAAAGGCAGUGGCGGCGUCCCGAAUGGUGCCCGAGCGUAUGGGAACUCUCUUCCGCUCGAACCGGCCCAUUCGGCGCUGGUCGAACCCCAAUUUUUUUUUACCGGUUGACCUCGGAUCAGGUAGGGAUACCCGCUGAACUUAAGCAUAUCAAUAAGCGGAGGA
rnacentral:misc_RNA from 1 species